GACGAACGCUGGCGGCGUGCUUAACACAUGCAAGUCGAACGGAAAGGCCCUGCUUUUGUGGGGUGCUCGAGUGGCGAACGGGUGAGUAACACGUGAGUAACCUGCCCUUGACUUUGGGAUAACUUCAGGAAACUGGGGCUAAUACCGGAUAGGAGCUCCUGCUGCAUGGUGGGGGUUGGAAAGUUUCGGCGGUUGGGGAUGGACUCGCGGCUUAUCAGCUUGUUGGUGGGGUAGUGGCUUACCAAGGCUUUGACGGGUAGCCGGCCUGAGAGGGUGACCGGCCACCUUGGGACUGCGAUACGGCCCAGACUCCUACGGGAGGCAGCAGUCGGGAAUAUUGCACAAUGGGCGGACGCCUGAUGCAGCAACGCCGCGUGCGGGAUGACGGCCUUCGGGUUGUAAACCGCUUUCGCCUGUGACGAAGCGUGAGUGACGGUAAUGGGUAAAGAAGCACCGGCUAACUACGUG
rnacentral:rRNA from 1 species